GACGAACGCUGGCGGCGUGCUUAACACAUGCUAGUCGAACGGAAAGGCCCUGCUUUUGUGGGGUGCUCGAGUGGCGAACGGGUGAGUAACACGUGAGUAACCUGCCCUUGACUUUGGGAUAACUUCAGGAAACUGGGGCUAAUACCGGAUAGGAGCUCCUGCUGCAUGGUGGGGGUUGGAAAGUUUCGGCGGUUGGGGAUGGACUCGCGGCUUAUCAGCUUGUUGGUGGGGUAGUGGCUUACCAAGGCUUUGACGGGUAGCCGGCCUGAGAGGGUGACCGGCCACAUUGGGACUGAGAUACGGCCCAGACUCCUACGGGAGGCAGCAGUGGGGAAUAUUGCACAAUGGGCGGAAGCCUGAUGCAGCAACGCCGCGUGCGGGAUGACGGCCUUCGGGUUGUAAACCGCUUUCGCCUGUGACGAAGCGUGAGUGACGGUAAUGGGUAAAGAAGCACCGGCUAACUACGUGCCAGCAGCCGCGGUGAUACGUAGGGUGCGAGCGUUGUCCGGAUUUAUUGGGCGCAAGGGCUCGUAGGUGGUUGAUCGCGUCGGAAGUGUAAUCUUGGGGCUUAACCCUGAGCGUGCUUUCGAUACGGGUUGACUUGAGGAAGGUAGGGGAGAAUGGAAUUCCUGGUGGAGCGGUGGAAUGCGCAGAUAUCAGGAGGAACACCAGUGGCGAAGGCGGUUCUCUGGGCCUUUCCUGACGCUGAGGAGCGAAAGCGUGGGGAGCGAACAGGCUUAGAUACCCUGGUAGUCCACGCUGUAAACGGUGGGUACUAGGUGUGGGGUCCAUUCCACGGGUUCCGUGCCGUAGCUAACGCUUUAAGUACCCCGCCUGGGGAGUACGGCCGCAAGGCUAAAACUCGAAGGAAUUGACGGGGCCCCGCACAAGCGGCGGAGCAUGCGGAUUAAUUCGAUGCAACGCGUAGAACCUUACCUGGGUUUGACAUGGAUCGGGAGUGCUCAGAGAUGGGUGUGCCUCUUUUGGGGUCGGUUCACAGGUGGUGCAUGCCUGUCGUCAGCUCGUGUCGUGAGAUGUUGGGUUAAGUCCCGCAACGAGCGCAACCCUUGUUCACUGUUGCCAGCACGUUAUGGUGGGGACUCAGUGGAGACCGCCGGGGUCAACUCGGAGGAAGGUGGGGAUGACGUCAAGUCCUCAUGCCCCUUAUGUCCAGGGCUUCACGCAUGCUACAAUGGCUGGUACAGAGAGUGGCGAGCCUGUGAGGGUGAGCGAAUCUCGGAAAGCCGGUCUCAGUUCGGAUUGGGGUCUGCUACUCGACCUCAUGAAGUCGGAGUCGCUAGUAAUCGCAGAUCAGCAACGCUGCGGUGAAUACAAUCCCGGGGCU
rnacentral:rRNA from 1 species